UACGUAGGCAGCGAGCGUUGUUCGGAGUUACUGGGCGUAAAGAGUGCGUAGGCGGUUUUCUAAGUUUGGUGUGAAAUCUCCCGGCUUAACUGGGAGGGUGCAGCGGAAACUAGAGUGCUAGAGGGUGGGAGAGGUAAGCGGAAUUCCUGGUGUAGCGGUGAAAUGCGCAGAUAUCAGGAGGAACACCAAUGGCGAAGGCAGCUCGCUGGGACGUGACUGACGCUGAGACGCGAAAGCGUGGGGAGCAAACAGG
rnacentral:rRNA from 1 species